CAAUGUGUACAAGAAAUUAAUCUUUAGGCUGACUGAUGUCACACAAAUAAUUGAUGCAAAAAAUCUUGGGCAUAUAAUUUUUUGUGUUAGUGCCCUCUACAUGUUUGUUGUUAUGCUUCAUACAGCUGAAUCUAUUUUUUUUCAGGUUUUUUUACUGCAUACACAUGCUCAUAGACGAGCACACGUCCCUGGCGAGCAAAUGCAACCCAUGGCCGCCACGCCUAUGGGUGCAGUUGGGUGGUCAUUGUGAAAUCUGUAGAAAAGCAAUAUCCGAGCUGGAAGAAACCAAUUGGCAUGACCAGAUAGAACUUCAGACUAGGUAUUCAUGCACUGGCCGAUGGAAGCAGCAUCAGUUGAGAAGCUAGAGAACUUAUCACUUGAUAGCAUCCUUGUAAGGAGUAUCAUACGCCUCAUACAUUUUCUGAAUUUGUUAAAGAUAACAUCGUUAAAGAUAACAUCUAUCUACACUGACGAUGUUCACAAACUCAACCUCAUGAUAUCUCUGUAAACUUGAUGAGAUCCGCAUGACAGAAACUGUGUGUAGCAAAGUUUGCAUGAGCAUGUUCAAUUCGUUGGAAUUCAGGUGGCUUCCUAUUGAGGUAAUUAAGCUAAAAUAUUACAUGUUAUUUUCAUGAAAAUUUGGUCAAAUAUUUGCUCUAUUUGCAUACUAUUCUAGGACUAUCUGCUUUAUUUUCUUCCUAUAAUAAAUAAAUUUGUUAACCUGCCACCAAGA